rnacentral:rRNA from 1 species
UACGUAGGGUGCAAGCGUUAAUCGGAAUUACUGGGCGUAAAGCGUGUGUAGGCGGCCAUGUAAGUCGGAUGUGAAAGCCCCAGGCUCAACCUGGGAAGUGCACUCGAUACUGCGUGGCUUGAGUAUCGGAGAGGUUGGUGGAAUUCUCGGUGUAGAGGUGAAAUUCGUAGAUAUCGAGAGGAACACCGGUGGCGAAGGCGGCCAACUGGACGAAUACUGACGCUGAGACACGAAAGCGUGGGGAGCAAACAGG